CAGUCGCCGCGGGAACACGAAGGGUGCAAGCGUUAAUCGGAAUUACUGGGCGUAAAGCGUGCGUAGGCGGUGAGUUAAGUCUGCUGUGAAAUCCCCGGGCUCAACCUGGGAAUGGCAGUGGAUACUGGCUCGCUAGAGUGUGUCAGAGGAUGGUGGAAUUCCCGGUGUGGCGGUGAAAUGCGUAUAGAUCGGGAGGAACAUCAGUGGCGAAGGCGGCCAUCUUGGACAACACUGACGCUGAGGCACGAAAGCGUGGGGAGCAAACAGGAUUAGAUACUCGAGUAGUCCCUGUCUCUUAUAC
rnacentral:rRNA from 1 species